ensembl:processed_transcript
AUUCACUGGCGACCACGAAGAGAUGUCUGCAUUGCGUCACACACGCGCGCGCACGAGCUGUUUGUUGCCAUGUUUCACAUUGUGGAGUUUUUGGAAACCCAAGAGGUGGAAGUUGUGCCAGCGCUUUGGGUUACAGAUGAAAUUUGUCAAUGGCCAGCUCACUACAAAGCGGAUGAAUUAGUGAAGGCCGUACGGAGCCAGGAGCAGCCUGGAGUCACAUGGGAUGCAUUUCGUGUUCAAAUUUUAUAUACAGCUGCAAACUACAAACAUGCUUGUCUAAAACUUCCUGAAGCUGAAGCCUACACUGAUCUGCAAACAGCAGAGGAAGACAAGGAUGACUAUCCAAAGAAAAAACGAAAACGUCUGCCAAACAUUCACUUUGAAAGUGAUAGUGAGGAGGAAGUUCCUGUCAAACAAAAAAUUACAUUGCCUCCAGCCCCAAAAAUAAAAACGCAGAACUUUGAUAAACAGUCUGCAGUAAGGAGAAAAGUUCAACGGCCUGAACCACAAAAACAAAAGACAAGCCUAGAUCUCAGACGGUCUCUUACAAGUCCUAAGCCUAGACAAAGUCCUGAGCCUUGGCAGUCUGUAAGAAGCCCUGAGCAUAGACAAUCAACAAGUCCGGAACCAAGAUGCUCUGUGACUAGUCCUCAACCCCUUGAACUACAUGAAAGCCAAAGACAAUCAGGAACAACAAUUUCAAAUAGUCUGUCUUCUCUACUGCACAAACUUCUUACAAAUCAAGAAAUUAUAAUGGAACAACUUAAAAUGAUUCAGAUGAACCUGCAAAAUACAGGCCAACCUGUCCAGGGACAGGAUUCCCUCAAGAGAGUAGUACUGCCACUCAAAGAUGUGGCUGCCCUCCUUGCGUUAGAAAAACGCCUCAGAGAAGAGGAAGACCUCAAAAACAAAAUGAUCACUACCUUCAGUGUCAUUGGAGGAGUUGACAUUAAAGAUAGUGUUUGGCGAAUCAUGAAGCACUGUUUUACCAACACCCUUGCCAAACAGCUCAACUGGCGUGGCAUCAAUGGCAAAACAGCUUUCCAUGGACUGCAUAUGAAAGAUGUAAUUACUGGACUGUGAGAAACAACAGGCUCACAGCAGCAGCAACGGAUCAAGAGGUAGAGUUUUACAUUAAAAGAUGGCUUCAACUUGCCAGUGACCGAGAUGGAGGGAGAAGAGAAAGAGAGGAGCGAAGACGCAGUCUCCAGAAAAACUGUUUACAAGAUGGCACUGAUGGACCCAGUCAAGAAGAACACUAAAUAAAAAAUAAAUGUCUUUACAUAG